AGAAUGAAACAAGCCCGAUCUAAUAAAAUAAACAUUUUAAGGUAAGUAUAAAACAGUUUUAACCUAAAUAAAGGUUUAAUAUUUACUUAGGUUUAUUAAAACUUUUUAAUCUUACUUUAUUUUAGAACUGCAUCUGAAACUUUUAAAAAUACUGUUUCUGUUAAAAAUACUGUUUCUGUCGACUAUCUAGAAGAAAAGGCUCGCGAGGAAUCCAGGUUAGUAUAGGAUUUUUUAUAAGCAUUUAGAGAAGUGCCUUUUUUAACUUUUUAAUGUUUUUAAGGUAACUUUUUUGAGUAUUUAGAAUUUACAACAACAUUAUCGUGAAAAAUACAACAUAUUCCAUAGAAAAAUAACUUUCAUUUAUUACAGUAAACCCUCGUGUAGUUAUAAUUAUCAAGAUUCUCAGCAACAAAUAUCGCCAACAAUUUUGAAUAAUUAUAGUGAGUUAAAUGUUGAAGAUUCUAUGAGUAUAGAAAAUGAUAAUAAACUUGAAAAUGGUGCUAAAAGUCAAAGCCAACAAGAAAAUAAUUUAGAAUCGGCGAAAAAAAGAAAAAAGUGAUAAAAAACGAAGUAAUUCUAAAAAUGUACCUGUACCAUUGGCGUUAAGAAAAGAGGUUUUGAACAAAUUUUUAAGAUUAAGAAGUGCGAUAACAAAAGCCACCACUCACAGAAUCGCGGAAGACACCACGAUGGAUCAAAAAAUUAAAUUGCUAAGAGGUGACAUCUCUAAUGCCCCAAGUCAUGUAUUUGGGGAACACGCCAGAUGUAAAGAAAUUAAUUAUUUCAAGUGUGAUAAUCCAAAUUACACAAAUUUAGUGCCAAGUAUGCAGACUUGUGGAAUUUAUGAAGACAUCUUAGUAGCUUUGCAAAGAAUUAUAGAUAAUGCAAGCAGCCUAAUCCUCAAUAUGGACAAUAACCUCGCUGAGCAUUAUAACAGUAUUGUUAGCAAAUUUGUUGGUGGCAAGCGUAUAAAUUUUUGCAAACGAGGUUCAUAUGAAGCUCGCUGUGAGGCAGCUGCAUUGUCAUUUAAUUCUGGUGGUAGCUAUUAUGAAAUCCUUCAUAAAACCGCAAUAGGCACAAGCCCUCGUUCCUUUACUAAGCGGUAUAUUCAGAGAUGUAAAAAGAUAAGGCUGUUUUAUCAAACUAAAAGACUGCAAAAAACAUUAAUUUCAAAAAAAAAAAUAAGAAAAGAAAACAAACUCUUCCUGAUAAGGAUUAUGGUCCUGACGCCCAUUACAUUCCUUUAGAAAUAAACAGUGACGUUUUUAUUUCGAGGAAAAAUGAAAUCUUAAAAGAUAUGAAAAAAAAGUCCAGAGGAAAUAAAACAUAUUGAAAAUUCUACAAUUGGCCAGGCUUCUAAUCCAAAAUGGAUACAAGAAAGAUCACAGCGGAUUACUGCCUCAAAUUUUGGCAAAAUAUGUAAAAUGCGGGCAAAAACCUCGCCAUGUGGUGCAAUAAAAACGAUGCUGUAUGGAAAUUUUAGCGGCAAUAAUGCUACAAGAUAUGGAAGUGAAAGCGAGGCCCGAGCAAUUUUAGAAUUUGAAAAUGAAUUUAAUUUAAAAGUGUCUCGAUGUGGAAUUUUUAUAGGUGAACAAGAAUAUUAUUUGGCAGCGAGCCCUGAUGGUUGCAUUAAUGAACAUGAUUUCGUAGAAGUUAAAUGCCCAUUUAGCAUUGCCAACAUGACUCCAACCGAAGCAAUAUUAUCAAAAAAGAUCACAUUCGCUACAUUGGAAAAUAACCACCUACAUUUGAAAAAAAACCACAAUUAUUACUACCAAGUUCAGGGGCAGUUAGCUAUAGCUAACAAGCAAUCAUGCUAUUUUAUUAUUUGGAGCCCUCUUGGCAUGUUAGUUGAACAGAUUGGCCGUGAUGAACAAUUUUGGGAGGAACAAAUGUUACCAAAAUUAAAAGCCUUCUACUUCAAUUUUUUAUUACCAGAAAUAGUUGACCCGCUUUAUCCAAAAGGGCUGCCUAUCAGAACUUAAAAUUCUUCCGUUGGCGAAAAACCUGUCAACUGAAUUGAUGCAGAAGCUAAUUAAUUUUUUUUUAUUUAUUUUUUUUUAAUAUGUAAAAACCUUAAUAAAUAUGUAUAUACGUUUUUUAUAUGUUUAUAUUUUUUUGUUAAUAAACGUUUCGUUCGUUU